GAUGAACGCUAGCGGCAGGCCUAAUACAUGCAAGUCGAACGGUGUCUUCGGACAUAGUGGCGCACGGGUGCGUAACACGUAUGCAAUCUACCUUACAUUGGGGGAUAGCCUUUCGAAAGGGAGAUUAAUACCGCAUAAGACAGUAGCUGGGCAUCCAGCAGCUGUUAAAGAUUUAUCGAUGUAAGCUGGGCAUGCGUCCAAUUAGCUAGUUGGUGAGGUAACGGCUCACCAAGACAAUGAUUGGUAGGGGAACUGAGAGGUCAAUCCCCCACACUGGCACGGAGAGACGGGCCAGACUCCUACGGGAGGCAGCAGUAGGGAAUAUUGGGCAAUGGACGCAAGUCUGACCCAGCCAUGCCGCGUGCAGGAUGAAGGCGUUAUGCGUUGUAAACUGCUUUUAUACAGGAAGAAACGACUCUUGCGAGAGGCAUUGACGGUACUGUAUGAAUAAGCACCGGCUAACUCCGUGCCAGCAGCCGCCGCAGUAA
rnacentral:rRNA from 1 species